GAGUUUGAUCCUGGCUCAGGACGAACGCUGGCGGCGUGCUUAACACAUGCAAGUCGAGCGAUGAACCACCUUCGGGUGCGGAUUAGCGGCGAACGGGUGAGGAACACGUGAGGAACCUGCCCAUCACUCUGGGAUAACUCCGGGAAACCGGGGCUAAUACCGGAUAUUUUCAACUGGCGGCAUCGCUGGUUGAAGAAAGUUUUUCGGUGAUGGAUGGCCUCGCGGCCUAUCAGCUUGUUGGUGAGGUAAUGGCUCACCAAGGCAACGACGGGUAGCCGGCCUGAGAGGGCGACCGGCCACACUGGGACUGAGACACGGCCCAGACUCCUACGGGAGGCAGCAGUGGGGAAUAUUGGGCAAUGGAGGAAACUCUGACCCAGCGACGCCGCGUGA
rnacentral:rRNA from 1 species